CGUAUCACCCAAGACAACUUUACGGAGUUGACGAUUGACGGAGCGAAGCGACGUCAAAGCGUUCAUUAAAGUCGAGUUGGCUUAGGGAUACGUUCGUUGGGUAGGGGAGCGUUCUGUAAGCCUGUGAAGGUGUGUCGUGAGGCAUGCUGGAGGUAUCAGAAGUGCGAAUGCUGACAUAAGUAACGAUAAAGCGGGUGAAAAGCCCGCUCGCCGGAAGACCAAGGGUUCCUGUCCAACGUUAAUCGGGGCAGGGUGAGUCGACCCCUAAGGCGAGGCCGAAAGGCGUAGUCGAUGGGAAACGGGUUAAUAUUCCCGUACUUGGUGUUACUGCGAAGGGGGGACGGAGAAGGCUAUGUUGGCCGGGCGACGGUUGUCCCGGUUUAAGCGUGUAGGUGUGUGUUCCAGGUAAAUCCGGUUCACUUUAACACUGAGGCGUGACGACGAGGCACUACGGUGCUGAAGCAACAAAUGCCCUGCUUCCAGGAAAAGCCUCUAAGCAUCAGGUAACACGAAAUCGUACCC
rnacentral:rRNA from 1 species